rnacentral:rRNA from 1 species
UACAGAGGGGGCAAGCGUUGUUCGGAAUUACUGGGCGUAAAGGGCGCGUAGGUGGCCUUCUAAGUUGAACGUGAAAUCCCUGGGCUCAACCCAGGAACUGCGUCCAAGACUGGGAGGCUUGAAUCCGGGAGAGGGAUGCGGAAUUCCAGGUGUAGCGGUGAAAUGCGUAGAUAUCGGGAGGAACACCUGUGGCGAAAGCGGCUCACUGGACCACAACUGACGCUGAGGCGCGAAAGCUAGGGGAGCAAACAGG